rnacentral:rRNA from 1 species
UACGUAGGGGGCAAGCGUUGUCCGGAUUUAUUGGGCGUAAAGAGCGUGUAGGCGGCCGUACAGGUCAGCUGUGAAAAACUCGAGGCUCAACCUCGAGACGUCGGUUGAAACCGUACGGCUAGAGUCCGGAAAGAGGAGAGUGGAAUUCCCGGUGUGAGCGGUGAAAUGCGCAGAUAUCGGGAAGAACACCCGUGGCGAAGGCGGCUCUCUGGGACGGUACUGACGCUGAGACGCGAAAAGCGUGGGGGAGCGAACAGG